rnacentral:rRNA from 1 species
AUUGAACGCUGGCGGCAGGCCUAACACAUGCAAGUCGAACGAGUGGCGGAGGGGUGAGUAAUGUCUGGGAAACUGCCCGAUGGAGGGGGAUAACUACUGGAAACGGUAGCUAAUACCGCAUACCAUCGGAUGUGCCCAGAGGGGAUUAGCUAGUAGGUGGGGUAACGGCGCACCUAGGCGACGAUCCCUAGAUGGUCUGAGAGGAUGACCAGCCACACUGGAACUGAGAAACGGUCCAGACUCCUACGGGAGGCAGCAGUGGGGAAUAUUGCACAAUGGGCGCAAGCCUGAUGCAGCCAUGCCGCGUGUAUGAAGAAGGCCUUCGGGUUGUAAAGUACUUUCAGCGAGGAGGCGUUACUCGCAGAAGAAGCACCGGCUAACUCCGUGCCAGCAGCCGCGGUAAUUC